rnacentral:rRNA from 1 species
UUUGAUCUCAAAUCAGGUAGGACUACCCGCUGAACUUAAGCAUAUCAAUAAGCGGAGGAAAAGAAACUAACAAGGAUUCCCCUAGUAACUGCGAGUGAAGCGGGAAGAGCUCAAAUUUAAAAUCUGGCAAUCCUUGUGGUUGUCCGAGUCGUAAUCUAGAGAA